AUUGAACGCUGGCGGCAGGCCUAACACAUGCAAGUCGAGCGGAUGAAGGGAGCUUGCGCCUGGCUUCAGCGGCGGACGGGUGAGUAAUGCCUAGGAAUCUGCCUGGGAGUGGGGGAUUACGUCGGGAAAAGGGCGCUAAUACCGCAUACGUACUGAGGGAGAAAGAGGGGGAUCUUCGGACCUUACGCUAUCAGAUGAGCCUAGGUCGGAUUAGCUAGUUGGUGGGGUAAAGGCCUACCAAGGCGACGAUCCGUAACUGGUAUGAGAGGAUGACCAGUCAGACUGGAACUGAGACACGGUCCAGACUCCUACGGGAGGCAGCAGUGGGGAAUAUUGGACAAUGGGCGAGAGCCUGAUCCAGCCAUGCCGCGUGUGUGAAGAAGGUCUUCGGAUUGUAAAGCACUUUAAGUUGGGAGGAAGGGCAGUAAGUUAAUACCUUGCUGUUUUGACGUUACCAACAGAAUAAGCACCGGCUAACUUCGUG
rnacentral:rRNA from 1 species